GAUGAACGCUAGCGGCAGGCUUAAUACAUGCAAGGCGAAGGGGCAGCAAUGUCGCUGUCGUACGGGUGCGUAACGCGUAUGCAACCUACCUAUCACUGGGGGAUAGCCCGGGGAAACCCGGAUUAAUACCGCAUAACACAGGGGCUCCUCAUGGAGAUAUUUGUUAAAGAUUUAUCGGUGGUAGAUGGGCAUGCGUUCGA
rnacentral:rRNA from 1 species